rnacentral:rRNA from 1 species
UACGGAGGGUGCGAGCGUUGUCCGGAUUUAUUGGGUUUAAAGGGUGCGUAGGCGGCCCGUUAAGUCCGGGGUGAAAGCCUGCCGCUCAACGGCGGAACUGCCCCGGAUACUGGCGGGCUUGCGUCGGGUAGAGGCCGGCGGAAUGGACGGAGUAGCGGUGAAAUGCAUAGAUACCGUCCAGAACCCCGAUUGCGAAGGCAGCUGGCUGGGCCCGUACUGACGCUGAGGCACGACAGCGUGGGGAGCGAACAGG